GUCAACAACCCACCACCAACCCUUUGGGCACAGUGGGGGCAAACGACUGCCCUAGUUGACCCGACUAAGUACCGUGCGUACUACGUUUAAGGCAAGAGUUCAAGACCUACCCUGGAAUGCGUAGCCAGUUCCAGGCACUAGAACUGGGGGAUUAAACAGGCUUAGAGGGUUAAGCUGGUGUCUUCUGGAUAGUGAGAUAGUUCGUUUCUGUCGCCUCGCGUCGGAAUCUUCUAUCGAACCCGCAAGGGUACCGACCUUAAACAUUGUCCAGGCUAACAUUAC
rfam:Cylindrospermum stagnale PCC 7417, complete genome.